GAUGAACGCUGGCGGCGUGCCUAACACAUGCCAGUCGAACGCUGAACCCGCGUCGGUGGGGGAUGAGCGGCGAACGGGUGCGUAACACGAGGGCAACCUGCACCCGGCUCUGGGAUAACUCCAAGAACGGGGGGCUAAUACCGGAAGUGGCCGCUAGCCGCAUGGGCUGGUGGUGGUAAGGGUUGCCGGCUGGGGUUAGGCCCGCGGCCUAUCAGCUGGUUGGUUGGGUAGUGGGCUACCAAGGCGCCGACGGGUAGCCGGCCUUAGAGGGUGACCGGCCACCCUGGGCCUGCGGGAGGGCGCAGUCUGCUACGUGCGGCAAUAGGCGGGAGCAUUGCGCAAUGGGCGGAAGCCUGACGCAGCGACGCCGCGAUCGUGAUGACGGCUUUCGGGGUGUAAACCUCUUUCAGCGUAAACAAAGCCGAAUUGACGGUACCUGCACAGAAAGCACCGGCUAACUACGUG
rnacentral:rRNA from 1 species